rnacentral:rRNA from 1 species
AAACUUGAGCUAAUACCGUAUAAUGACUCCGGUCCAAAGNUUUAUCGCCUAAGGAUGAGCCCGCGUCGGAUUAGCUAGUUGGUGAGGUAAAAGCUCACCAAGGCGACGAUCCGUAGCUGGUCUGAGAGGAUGAUCAGCCACACUGGGACUGAGACACGGCCCAGACUCCUACGGGAGGCAGCAGUGGGGAAUAUUGGACAAUGGGCGAAAGCCUGAUCCAGCAAUGCCGCGUGAGUGAUGAAGGCCUUAGGGUUGUAAAGCUCUUUUACCCGGGAUGAUAAUGACAGUACCGGGAGAAUAAGCCCCGGCUAACUCC